rnacentral:rRNA from 1 species
AACGAACGCUGGCGGCAGGCUUAACACAUGCAAGUCGAGCGCCCCGCAAGGGGAGCGGCAGACGGGUGAGUAACGCGUGGGAAUCUACCCAUCUCUACGGAAUAACGCAUGGAAACGUGUGCUAAUACCGUAUACGUCCUUCGGGAGAAAGAUUUAUCGGAGAUGGAUGAGCCCGCGUUGGAUUAGCUAGUUGGUGGGGUAAAGGCCUACCAAGGCGACGAUCCAUAGCUGGUCUGAGAGGAUGAUCAGCCACACUGGGACUGAGACACGGCCCAGACUCCUACGGGAGGCAGCAGUGGGGAAUAUUGGAUAAUGGGCGCAAGCCUGAUCCAGCCAUGCCGCGUGAGUGAUGAAGGCCCUAGGGUUGUAAAGCUCUUUUACCGGUGAAGAUAAUGACGGUAACCGGAGAAGAAGCCCCGGCUAACUUCGUGCCAGCCGCCGCGGUAAUAC